rnacentral:rRNA from 1 species
GACGAACGCUGGCGGCGUGCUUAACACAUGCAAGUCGAACGGAAAGGCCCUGCUUUUGUGGGGUGCUCGAGUGGCGAACGGGUGAGUAACACGUGAGUAACCUGCCCUUGACUUUGGGAUAACUUCAGGAAACUGGGGCUAAUACCGGAUAGGAGCUCCUGCUGCAUGGUGGGGGUUGGAAAGUUUCGGCGGUUGGGGAUGGACUCGCGGCUUAUCAGCUUGUUGGUGGGGUAGUGGCUUACCAAGGCUUUGACGGGUAGCCGGCCUGAGAGGGUGACCGGCCACAUUGGGACUGAGAUACGGCCCAGACUGCUACGGGAGGCAGCAGUGGGGAAUAUUGCACAAUGGGCGGAAGCCUGAUGCAGCAACGCCGCGUGCGAGAUGACGGCCUUCGGGUUGUAAACCGCUUUCGCCUGUGACGAAGCGUGAGUGACGGUAAUGGGUAAAGAAGCACCGGCUAACUACGUG